AAGCCGACGACUGCUGCUAGCACACCACUGCACUGCUUUACUUUUUUCUGUUUUUUGUUCUAGAUUUGUUUAGAAUGUCUUCUCUUAUUAAGGUGAACCAGGAAGUUAAAACAAAGGUUGACGCAUUCAGAGAGAGAAUUACCAGUGAGCUUUUCCUAAAAUCAGCUGGAACUUUUGUAACGUCUAACACACCGAACAUCUGGCUGGUCUAUUCAGGCAGCUGCAUCUCGUAUAUUGGAGUACUGGUGUUGGUAACAACUUCAGAUAUGUUAAGAAGAGGU